ensembl:misc_RNA Metazoa_SRP Metazoan signal recognition particle RNA
GCAAAGGCAGGUGUCUGCCUAUAGUCCAAGUUUCUGGGGAGGCUGAGGCAGGAGGAUUGUUUGAGUCCAGGAGUUCUGAGCUGUAGUGUGGUAUGCCUGUCUGGUGUCUACACUAAGUUUGGCAUCAAUAAUAUGACCUUCUGGGAGCAGGGGACCACCAGAUUGCCUAAAGUGGGGUACACUUGAACCAGGUGGGAAAUGGAGCAAGUUGAAACUUCUGUACUGAUCUGAUAGUGGGAUCACCCCUUGAAUAGCAAUGCACUUCAACAUAGGCAACAUAGUGAGCCGCCUUCU